GCAUUCAACAAACUUACCCGAGUUGAUUCUAACUCCCAAUAAUCGCAUAAAUGGUUCCAAUCUUCCGGACUCCGACAAUUGGAUUUCAUCAUUGAUCUAGCCAACCGAGGAUUGGUUUUUCCUCCAUUAUUCUUCCAGUGGGCACUCAACUCACCUCUGGUACGUUUCCAUUGGUAAUGUACAGGUACGGACUCCCAUUUAUGAAAGUUCAUUGGACAUACACCACGCAUUACAAUCCCACACUCAUUUGCAAACUAAGUAGCUGUACGCCCAACAAAUCCUUUCGUACCGCCAGCCAUUGUUAAAGAAAUUUUGGAACCCUCAGGCAAAUUCUCAAAGUCUUUUGUAGCGCUAAGAUUGAGAUUUGGACCACGCCUUUUUGGUGGAUCAACCUGGGUUUGAUUUGAAUCUGUACAUUUUUUUACAAUUAGGGGAGCUCAAAGACUAUUUCAAUAUAAACAAACAAACAUAAUAAUUUUACUUUAAAU
rnacentral:lncRNA from 1 species